UAGUCCACGCCCUAAACAAUGUCAACUAGUUGUUGGGGAUUCAUUUCCUUAGUAACGUAGCUAACGCGUGAAGUUGACCGCCUGGGGAGUACGGUCGCAAGAUUAAAACUCAAAGGAAUUGACGGGGACCCGCACAAGCGGUGGAUGAUGUGGAUUAAUUCGAUGCAACGCGAAAAACCUUACCUACCCUUGACAUGGUCGGAAUCCUGAAGAGAUUUGGGAGUGCUCGAAAGAGAACCGAUACACAGGUGCUGCAUGGCUGUCGUCAGCUCGUGUCGUGAGAUGUUGGGUUAAGUCCCGCAACGAGCGCAACCCUUGUCCUUAGUUGCUACGCAAGAGCACUCUAAGGAGACUGCCGGUGACAAGCCGGAGGAAGGUGGGGAUGACGUCAAGUCCUCAUGGCCCUUAUAGGUAGGGCUUCACACGUCAUACAAUGGUCGGAACAGAGGGUUGCCAACCCGCGAGGGGGAGCUAAUCCCAGAAAACCGAUCGUAGUCCGGAUUGCACUCUGCAACUCG
rnacentral:rRNA from 1 species